rnacentral:misc_RNA from 1 species
CGAAAGAGAUCGCGAUUCCUGGAGCAGGGAACGCAUCGGACAACCCAUCGAUCGCGAAGCGCGGCCGGCUCGAUGAGCGGCGGAGCUAAAGUUACAUGGUCUCCCCACACGUGUGCGUAUAAUCGUAAACGAAGUCUUUGUUUCCAUUCUUUAAUACGUCUCUCUACGAAAAAACACUAAUGGUAAAUAUCAUGUUUUUAUUCUGUUAUCCGGCGGAUCCUGUUUAUACUGACUGGGUUAUAUUGCGUGAUCGUUUAGUCGGAGGAUUUAUCGUGGAAGUGACGUGGGAGGGGAAAAUGUCGGAAAGACGGAAGGCUGGGCGGGGGGGGGGGGGAGUGGCGAUGCUGUAGGGCUCUACGAUACGUUGGAGCGGAGAGGGGUGGUUUUCAAAGCUACGAGGAGUAAGAGAGAGUCGAGGUUCUGGGAUCGGUGGGCGCACAGGCCGAAGCGGGCGAGGAUCAGGGGGCG